GCUUUUUUAGUUCAUUUAUUAGAAUUUAGCUUUUGUAAUGCUAAGAAAUUAUUUAUAAUAUAAAGCU
rnacentral:tRNA from 1 species